rnacentral:lncRNA from 1 species
GCCGGCCAGGCUAAUUCUCCACAAAAGCUCUCCAAUACAACUCUCCCAAUAAAAUAAUAUUAGGAUAACCUAAUACCAUUUUCUAAAUUUAUUGGGACAGUUGCUACAGCAGAUCAUCAAUAAUCUCCUUCAAUAUAUAGGACAUACUUGUCACUAACAAUUUAUUCAUUUAUUUAUUUAUUUAUUUAUUUAUUUAUUUUUCUUUCAUCUUCUCCAAUCGGGACUGCAUCUCUUCGUCGCGCAGCGCCACCCAGCGCUCCUCGCCCCCUCCCUCGCCAUUGGGUAUCACCGCUAGAGCUCGAAGGCCGCUCCCUGUCUCCUCCCACCACACCUUUUCUUCUCCGGCCCGUUCUGCCCCAAGCCAUGGCACCCAAGAUUUGGCAGCGUACGUAUGCCCUGAACCUAGGCCUACAUCUCUCUUCUCUCUCCACGAGAUCUACAGGCACUACAGGCUGACACAGGCUCGCCAUGGAGCUCUCGAGCAUGACCAUGGAUACGAACAGCUUGAGCACAGCCAUAGGCGGCGAGCUCAGCAACGCCAAGGC